UUUAAUAAUUGCACUAGUUUAUUCCCUACUAAAGUUAUGAUUAUUAUCUUGAUAAUUUGGAUUAGAAUAUGCCGAAUUGUGACCAUAUUUCCAACAGGGACGAGCUUGGAGAAUCCAUGAGGAUGCCUAGUGUGCAAGACGCAUUGCGCUGCCUCCCGCCGCUAAUCUGGCCGCACUGUGCAACCUCUAUCUGACCUAUCUGACCUCAAUCGUUGGAUUUUUCUUUCCAGCUGGUUUUCUACCUCAGCCUUAUAGAUCUUAAAGUAAUGCAGUGCUUCAUCCUUUGUUUUCAAUAAGUACACAAAGCAAAAUCUAGUGCAAUCAUCUAUCAGUAUCAUGAAAUAUUUCUUUCCCCCUUUAGUCAACACACUGUUCAUUUUGCAUAGAUCGGAAUGAACAAGUUCUAGAGGAGCCAAAUUCCUCGCCUCAGAUGCACUGUGAGGCUUGCGAGGUUGUUUCGAUUGAAAACAGGUAUGACACUUGGAACCUUUAACUAAAGCAAAUUUUGGAAUUAAACUCAUGUUGGCUAAGCGCGUCAUACAACCAAAAUUCACAUGACAGAGUCGCGAAUGCCACACAUUUGACUCGUCAUCAUUGCUUACAUGGUCCAAAGAAAAGCGGAACAAGCCUCCGCUAUCAUAACAUUUUCUAAUAAACGUUCCAUAUUUAGAUACAACACAUUUAUUGGAUUCAAACACAAAUCUAAAAUCAUGUCUACACAGUAGAGAGCCGCUAACUAGAUUCUUCUUUAUUGAAGGGACAUGCUGCACGUUUUUCAGCUGCACGGUCUUUCCCGAAGUAAACUUUAGAUCGACCGUACCAACACCAAGAACAGCCGCAAGCGACCCAUUUUCCAUCAACAAGGAGGAACCUCUCCCGACUUGAUAAGAAGAAAACAAGGAAAUGUCAGCACACACAUGAAUAUUAACACCAGUGUUAACCCACCAAUCAGGUGAGUGACAAAUAGGAAGAACUGUAGGUAAAAAUUUACCAUACCCCGAUGUUCCUCCGCCCUUGCUAAUGACCAUGUUUGCAGACUUUCUGUCUUUGCGCUUAGGACAGUCCUUGGCCCAAUGCCCAGGCUUGCCACACACAAAGCAGUCACCCUUAGCCUUUCCCUUGCCUUUCUUCUUAAAAGUAGUUGUAGCCUUGGGUUUGACAUCAGGCUUGACUUUCUUGUUGUUAUGGGAUGCUUGAGGGUUUUUCUUCUAUACCAAAUUGGUACUAGAACUCCCCUCCACCUUUUUGCCGCGGUUGUCCUUUGCCCUCGCCUUCUCCUCAACACCCAAAGAGCCUAUGAGAUCAGUGACACUGAGCUCUUGCCUCUGUGUUUUAGAGAAGUAGCAAAGUCGGACCAAAAAGGUGGCAAUUUGGCUAUGAUACCUCCCGCCACGAACAUGUCUGGCAACUCAUAGCGGUUGUUCUCAAGUUCCUUUGCCAGCAUCUGUAUCUCAUGAGCUUGUUCCACUACAGAUCGAUCAUCGACCAUCUUGUAGUCAUAGAACUGCUCCAUGACAUACAGCUCACUGCCAGCAUCAGAAACCCCGAAUUUCGCCUCAAGUGCAUCCCACAUUUCCUUCCUGAAGGCAUGUGCAUGUACACGUCCACUAUGUUGUCGAUGAGCACACUGAUCAAUGCUCCACGGAAUAUGCAAUCCGCAGCCUCGAACUUGGCCUCCUCCUCAGGAGAGAGAGGCGGUUUACUCAGUUUGCCCCGUGAAACAAAGAAACAUUGCAUCGCUGUCAACCAUAGUAGUGCACGUGCUUUCCAUCUCUUAUAGUUUGAACCAUCGAAAGCGUGCGGUUUCAGUGAUGCGGCAAAUCCAACUACCGAAAAGGACCUAUCAGGUUUUUGGAUUGUUGGAAAUAUGGUCACAAUUCAGCAUAUUUUAAUCCAAAUUAUCAAGAUAAUAAUCAUGACUUUAACAGGGAAUAAACUAGUGCAAUUGUUAAACAAAUGUAACGAACGAAUCAUGCUUAAUAUAUAAUAAGCAUAGACAUCCAUCAUACAGCAAUGCAUUGAAAACAUUGCGCUAAACAGAAACACAAUAAGAAUUAACGCAGUAAACAAUAGUAUAGAGAGAUUAUACCCAGAGAAUGGCCCUCCGCUGGAUUGUGAGGCAUAAUUGUCUCCGUUGAUGAAGCCUCCAGUACCAUCCUGUCUAGCCGUACCCUUCCCAUCCGCGCGCGUUGGUGUUGUCCGCCGACAUGGUGAGGAUCGCAACCGUGCAAAAUCCAAGAAAAGAGCAGUCGCGUUGAAGAACGCUCCCAAAAACAUGAUUGCCCGCCUACCCGUGCUAGCAGCGCAAGAACAGAAGGAGGUAACCAGCGACAGGAAGAGAGGCACAGAGAGGAGACCCGAGAGGACUGAUUGGCGAUGGGAGAGAGGCAGAGUAUUUCCCGAGAGUAACGUUCGCUCGGGAAUUAAUCGUGUCGUUAAUGCCGAAACAAUCUCUGUGAAUUAAUCGCGUCAUUAAUGCCGAACCAAUCUCCAUCCGUUGCGCUGUUGGUGUUGUCCGCCGACAUGGUGAGGAUCGCAGCCAUGCAGAAUCCAAGAAAAGAGCAGUCGCAUGGAAGAACGCUCCCCAAAAACAUGAUUGCCCGCCUACCCAUGCUAGCAGCGCAGUAACAGAAGGAGGUAACUAGCGACGGGAGGAGAGGCAUAGAGAGGAGACCCGAGAGGACUGACUGGCGACGGGAGAGAGGUAGAGUCUCUCCCGAGAGUAACGUUCGCUCGGGAAUUAAUCGUGUCGUUAAUGCCGAAUCAAUCUUCGGGAAUUAAUAGCGUCGUUAAUGCCGAAUCAAUCUCCGUUUGUUACAAAACAUGAGAGAGAGAGAGAGAGAGAGCAGCAGCAGCAGCAGCCUGCCUCGCCACGGCCACGGGCCGACCGGCCGGCGCGCGCGCGCAUGUGGCAGUCCGCCCACUAUCUCAACCGGUCAAUAGGGACUCUCCUCUAGUUCUCUUUUUAAGUUGAGAUCUCUCCACUUAAAUUCCCGACGUGGUUUUAUUACCUCUAACAUUAAUUGUGGGCCUAUGGAAUUUAAUUGAAUUAUAUUGGGCCUAGACCAUUUAUUCCAACAGUCCCUGUCUUGAAGUUGUCGGAAGAAGGUGUUGUUGAUCAAGUACCCGUUGCGCAAGGAUAAGGUUAUUUUGGAGCGCAGAGCAAUGGCAAUUGCUAAUCCGGACCGCAUUUUCUAUACAUGCAAGGAGAAGAAUGAGAAGGAAGAACGAUUUUAAGGAUUUUUUUUGGGGGGAUUCUGGUGUCACUAUAUAGCUACAAGGAGAUAUAUGCGACGUGUUGUGAUGUGGAGGGGGCUGAGAGCAAAAAUGUUGUCUACAUAGGUGGCAUGCCACGUUGGCGGUCAAACGCAGACAAAGGACAUUUGGACCAGGUGUAGCAUCCUAAAAAAUUACAAUUUUCUAGUUAUGCAUCAUGUCGGUUCUUAUGUUCUUAUUAACAUCCUAAACCUAGGAAAAUAUAAUUAAAGAGACCUCCUAAAACUAACUUGCUUAAAACUUCUUCGUUUAUUUAAUUCCUUUUAUGACUUUUAUUAAAAACCUAUCUUGAGAUAUUUCUUGAUUUGAUUUCAAACUUUCUUUUGCUAAAUCUUUCUUUAUUUAAAUAUAGUUUGAAAACCCCUUUUUACUUUUAUGAAUUAUGGUCCAAGAAACCUUCCCAUAUUCCCCUAGAACAUAAACCAAAGCAAUUCCAAUUUUAUUGGAAUUAAGUGUCAACCCAUCCUUUGAUCUUAAACCUCAAUUCAAAUAUCCAAAUCCUUACUUUUGACCUAGCCACUGAUUUAAAUCCUGUGGCUAUAAUACCCUUCUCGGCGCAAGAAUAAUAUUAUGAAUAAUUGCUCUUGUGCUAAGAAAAUAGGUUUCAUCUUUUUAUCCAAAAUCCAAGUUCCCUAUUAGCCUCAAAUACAUCUCCAAAAUCCUUGCCAAAUAAUUUGAGGCUAACAUCCUAUUUAUUUCCCCUCCAUAUUCUUCCCACAUUUCCAAAAAUAUAUCCAAAUUUAGGAGUCCUAUUAUUCCUAGUGCAGAAAUACCCCUACUUCUUAUUUGAGUACUUCCAAAUAAAUUCCCUCAAACUCCACUUCUAAAAAUAUUGCACUCAAAUAAAAUAGAAGAUCUUUAUUUUGGAAUUCACAUAUAAACUCCCUCCAAAUAUAACCCCAUCUAUCAAUUCUACUCAAUCUGGGCCGAAGUACCUUCACCUAGGCCCAAGUCAGAAAAUCUAAUUUCCCUCCCUCUCUCUGUGGGCGCAUUUGGCGCCCAGGCUACGGCCGCCGCCGCCCACAGUCCUGCCGCCGUCGCCAGCCAAUCACCGAACGAGGCCGGCGCCGUUCUCUUCGCCUCCACUCCACCGACGCCGUGCCUUGCCUUCCUCCUCCAAUCUUACGGCAGCCACCACGUAUGCGCGCCGCCCUUUUCGUCCAAUGGGAGAACGAAGCCGACGCCGUAUUCCUCUUCCUCACGCCACUGUCGCCGUGCCUUCCUCGUCUUCCACCGGCGAACCGACCUUCAUGAACCGACGUCCACCUCUUUUCGCCAUCCGAGCCUUGAGCUCUUCUUCUUCUCUCUCUCCUCCCAUGUCCGGCCGUCGCCGCCGACGGUCGAUCUCCUCCCUCGUAGCUUCUCUAUCCUUUCCCUUGCGCCACUAUGAUGGCGAAUCCAUUUUACCCCUUUACCCCUUCCCUUCCACCUUGAGUUAAGCCACCACCGCCACCUCCCAAACCGGCCGGGGCUAAGCUCUUGCCGCUGCUGUUCCGGCCAUCCCUCUCUUCCUCUCUACCAACCACCGACCUCCCCGAGUGCGCGUCGACCGGGAACACAAUAUGCCGCCGACGUCGCCACACUUUGGCCACUGGAAGCCCGGCGCCCCGCUCACCCUCUCCUCUCUCUUCUCUCGGCUCACUGUGAGGCAGAGGAAGAAGAGAACGAAGGAAGAAGAAAGAGAGAAAGAAAAAUAAAAGAAAAGGAUAUUCCCUGACAGUAGAGUCUAUUAUAUUUGGAUGGCAACCUGUGGUAUUUCGAGCAUCGGAUAAUCAGGUUGCCUAUCUCGGAUUUAUUUGCGUUGGAGCAAGGUAAGUUAUUAUUCCUCCUCUUGAGCAUAAUUAUCCUAUAAUCUAUAUCUCUAUUCUAUGCAUUAGCCAUUCAUGAUUUUAAAUGCAUAACCUGAACAUAUAGCAAACCAGAUAUGCUAGCUUUUGCUUAGCCAUGCCUAGUUAGAUUGCAUAAAAUAUAAUGAACUUAGAUUGAAACAAUACGGUAGAAGUGGUUGAUUUCCGGGUGGCUAGUACUGUUCCAACCGAUAUAAGACUGCCAAGUACAUGUGAAGAACAUACGAGUACGACCGCAAUUCUCGUAUGGGCAUAGACCUAGCUGAUUAAGUUAUCUAGCAAAGGUGAUACCUCUGUAUAGUGGUUCUUCUUAAGUCCUCGCGCAGGAGGCAAUUCUAUGCCGAGCAGGGCAAUUAUGAUAUUUACCGAGGCACAGGUAAAUAUACUUAUAUUGAUAGUCCAGGGGACUAUGUUAUGGCCAUGUGAUUUUGUGAACCCUGAUUGCGAUGACAUGGUGUCAUACAAUCAGUUCUCUCUAAAGACCUCGGGAACGCCAGAACUCCUCACACUGCUGACAACGUUACGUUCAGAGCGCAUGGGGACUAGAGUUCAUGGAACAGGUACCACUAAUGUUAAUAACUGAAAAGCUUUGCCAUGACAAGGCUAAUGUGUUUGGCACGUCAUGGGUUGCGGGUAAAGCGUACAUUUACUGCAGUAAAGUAUAAAUGAAUCUAUUCGAAUAGCCGUGCUCACGGAUUUGAGCAUUGGGACUCA